AUUGAACGCUGGCGGCAGGCCUAACACAUGCAAGUCGAACGGUAACAGGAAGAAGCUUGCUUCUUUGCUGACGAGUGGCGCACGGGUGAGUCAUGUCUGGGAAACUGCCUGAUGGAGGGGGAUAACUACUGGAAACGGUAGCUAAUACCGCAUAACGUCUCAAGACCAAAGAGGGGGACCUUCGGGCCUCUUGCCAUCGGAUGUGCCCAGAUGGGAUUAGCUAGUAGGUGGGGUAACGGCUCACCUAGGCGACGAUCCCUAGCUGGUCUGAGAGGAUGACCAGCCACACUGGAACUGAGACACGGUCCAGACUCCUACGGGAGGCAGCAGUGGGGAAUAUUGCACAAUGGGCGCAAGCCUGAUGCAGCCAUGCCGCGUGUAUGAAGAAGGCCUUCGGGUUGUAAAGUACUUUCAGCGGGGAGGAAGGGAGUAAAGUUAAUACCUUUGCUCAUUGACGUUACCCGCAGAAGAAGCACCGGCUAACUCCGUG
rnacentral:rRNA from 1 species